CACGUAGGGGGCGAGCGUUGUCCGGAUUUAUUGGGCGUAAAGAGCUCGUAGGCGGUUUCGUAAGUCGGAUGUGAAAACUCCAGCUCAACUUGGAGACGCCAUUCGAUACUGCGAUGACUUGAGUCCGGUAGGGGAGUGUGGAAUUCCUGGUGUAGCGGUGAAAUGCGCAGAUAUCAGGAGGAACACCGGCGGCGAAGGCGGCACUCUGGGCCGGUACUGACGCUGAGGAGCGAAAGCGUGGGUAGCAAACAGG
rnacentral:rRNA from 1 species